rnacentral:misc_RNA from 1 species
GCGAUCAAGAAAUACCUGAGCGAGGCGCUGAAGCCGUUCCCGUCCUAUGUACACAUGGUCGGCAACAUCGAGAUCAAGCUCGACGGCGACAAGGCGAGCACGCGCACGGCCUGCUUCAAUCCCAUGGAAGUGAAGCUCGAGGGCGGCAAGACCCAGGUGAUGUUCUUAGGACUUUGGUAUGUGGACAAGCUGGUGCGCACGCCCAAGGGCUGGCGCAUGGUGGAGCGGGUGGAAGAACACGGCUACGCCCACAACGUGCCCGGCACCGUGCGGGUGACGGAAGAGUAGUGGCUGGG